UGGGGAAUCUUCCGCAAUGGACGAAAGUCUGACGGAGCAACGCCGCGUGAGUGAUGACGGCCUUCGGGUUGUAAAGCUCUGUUAAUCGGGACGAAUGGUUCUUGUGCAAAUAGUGCGAGGAUUUGACGGUACCGGAAUAGAAAGCCACGGCUAACUACGUGCCAGCAGCCGCGGUAAUACGUAGGUGGCAAGCGUUGUCCGGAAUUAUUGGGCGUAAAGCGCGCGCAGGCGGAUUGGUCAGUCUGUCUUAAAAGUUCGGGGCUUAACCCCGUGAUGGGAUGGAAACUGCCAAUCUAGAGUAUCGGGGAGGAAAGUGGAAUUCCUAGUGUAGCGGUGAAAUGAGUAGAUAUUAGGAAGAACACCAGUGGCGAAGGAGACUUUCUGGACGAAAACUGACGCUGAGGCGCGAAAGCCAGGGGAGCGAACGGG
rnacentral:rRNA from 1 species